GAUGAACGCUGGCGGCGUGCCUAAUACAUGCAAGUCGAGCGAACAGACGAGGAGCUUGCUCCUCUGACGUUAGCGGCGGACGGGUGAGUAACACGUGGAUAACCUACCUAUAAGACUGGGAUAACUUCGGGAAACCGGAGCUAAUACCGGAUAAUAUAUUGAACCGCAUGGUUCAAUAGUGAAAGACGGUUUUGCUGUCACUUAUAGAUGUAUCCGCGCCGCAUUAGCUAGUUGGUAAGGUAACGGCUUACCAAGGCAACGAUGCGUAGCCGACCUGAGAGGGUGAUCGGCCACACUGGAACUGAGACACGGUCCAGACUCCUACGGGAGGCAGCAGUAGGGAAUCUUCCGCAAUGGGCGAAAGCCUGACGGAGCAACGCCGCGUGAAUGAUGAAGGUCUUCGGAUCGUAAAACUCUGUUAUUAGGGAAGAACAAAUGUGUAAGUAACUAUGCACGUCUUGACGGUACCUAAUCAGAAAGCCACGGCUAACUACGUG
rnacentral:rRNA from 1 species